AAGUCGUAACAAGGUUUCCGUAGGUGAACCUGCGGAAGGAUCAUUAUUGAAUAAACUUGGUUGGGUUGUUGCUGGCUCUUAGGAGCAUGUGCACGCCUACUCCAUUUUUAACCACCUGUGCACCUUGUGUAGACUUGAACAACUCUCGAGACAGUAAUGUACUCGGUUGGAGAACUGCUGUGUGCUGUUAUACACGGCCCAGCUUUUCUUGUGUUCACGUCUAUGUCUUUAUAUUACACUCCCAAGAAUGUAUUAGAAUGUAUUAAUAGGCCAUUGUGCCUUUAAACACAAAUACAACUUUCAACAACGGAUCUCUUGGCUCUC
rnacentral:misc_RNA from 1 species